CUGAGAGGAUGAACGGCCACACUGGAACUGAGACACGGUCCAGACUCCUACGGGAGGCAGCAGUGGGGAAUCUUUCCGCAAUGGGCGAAAGCCUGACGGAGCAACGCCGCGUGAGUGAUGACGGCCUUCGGGUUGUAAAACUCUGUGAUCCGGGACGCAAAAGGCAGAGUGCGAAGAACAAACUGCAUUGACGGUACCGAAAAGC
rnacentral:rRNA from 1 species